rnacentral:misc_RNA from 1 species
GAUGAAGAACGUAGCGAAAUGCGAUAAGUAAUGUGAAUUGCAGAAUUCAGUGAAUCAUCGAAUCUUUGAACGCACCUUGCGCCCUUUGGCCAUUCCGAAGGGCAUGCCUGUUUGAGUAUCAUGAACACCUCAACUAUUUAUGGUUUUCCAUGAUGAGCUUGGACUCUGGGGGUUUUGCUGGCUCACAGUCGGCUCCUCUAAAAUGAAUCAGCUUACCAGUGUUUGGUGGGUAUCAUGGGUGUGAUAACUAUCUACGCUUGUGGUUUUUCCACCAGGUAACCUUCAGCAGUGGAGGUUCGCUGGAGCUCAUAGAUGUCUCUCCUCAGUGAGGACAGCCCUUUGAAUGUUUGAUCUCAAAUCAGGUAGGACUACCCGCUGAACUUAAGCAUAUCAAUAAGCGGAGGA